CCCUUAGAUGUUCUGGGCCGCACGCGUGCUACACUGACCGGCGCAACAAGCUUCUUUCCUUGACCGAUAGGUCUGGGUAAUCUUCGAACGCCGGUCGUGAUGGGGAUAGAUCCUUGCAAUUUUUGAUCUUCAACGAGGAAUUCCUAGUAAACGCGAGUCAUCAUCUCGCAUUGAUUACGUCCCUGCCCUUUGUACACACCGCCCGUCGCACCUACCGAUUGAAUGGUCCGGUGAAGCGUUCGGACCGUGGCCUUUGGACGGUUCGCCGUCUGUUGGCUGCGGGAAGUUCGUUAAACCUUAUCAUUUAGAGGAAGGAGAAGUCGUAACA
rnacentral:rRNA from 1 species